GUAGUACACCGCUUGUUAAUGGCAGCCAUUUCAAAAGAUAAGAAAAUGGAAAUUAAGGGAAAUUUGUUCAGCAACAAAGAUCUUGAGGAAUUAUGCAGACAUAUCAACAACAGAAACCGAGUGGAAAUGUAAAGAUUCAAGCAACGCAUAAAGAUAUGAUGACAGAGGCCAGAUGUGGUGGCUCACUUGAGGGCGGAUCACUUGAGGUCAGGAAUUUGAGACCAGCCUGGCCAAUAUGGUGAAACCCCAUCUCUACAAAAAAUACAAAAAUUAGCCGGGUGUGGUGGCACGCGCCUGUAGUCCCAGUUACUUGGGAGGCUGAGGCAGGAGAAUCUCUUGAACCCAGGAGGUGGAGAUUGCAGUGGGCCGAGAUCACACCACUGCACUCUAGCGUGGGUGACAAAAUUGAGACUGUGUCUCAAAAAAAAAAAAAAAAAAAGAUAUGAAGACAGAAACAUCACCUGUUAUCUUACCACCCAGAGCUAACAAUUAAUGAUUCUAGACACUGCUAACAUUUUUAUUUAUAAAAAUAUCGGCC
rnacentral:sRNA from 1 species